UAUUUACUACUACAAUUAGGUCGACUAUUGAAGUUGGUGCUGCCAUGGGAUGGUUGAAGCCAUUACUGAUUCUGAUUUUGUUAUCUGGUGCUGCGAAGGCUAAUAUUGUUGCUGUUCCGGUUGCGUGAGAGUUACCGCUGCUGCCCUGAAACUAAAAGAGAAGAGAGUUGUUACGUUAAAGUAUGCGAUUGCGACAUCGAGUGACACAGGUUUGAAGAUACAAUAUGAAGCUGCAAGCGACUAGUAGGCUUUCUUUAUGGUUUUAAUUGCUUUUAUAGAGUCCCCUCGCUCUUGUCCUUUGAGGUUUUGUUUUAACAGAGGGGUAAGUGUUGUAUUUGGGUUUAUAUGACUUCUUAUGAAUAAGAAUUACUAUUAAUAAUACUUAUGUGAUUGUUAUUAUUAUUUGCAAUGUUUAUCCUUGAUACA